GACUGCUUCCUUCAAGAAGGAAACAAUUCCCAGCUCCUGAGCUCUUUUACACUGGUGUUCCUUGCUGGUGUACUAGAGUAUCUGACAUCCAAUAUCCUUGAGCUGGCUACCAAGGAGAUCGACGAGAGCAUCAAAAAGUGCAUCACCCCAGAACAUGUGUGUCAGGUGAUAGAAAACAACAAAGAGCUCCUCCAACUUUUCAAAGAAGAUCCUAUAUCUGUG
rnacentral:lncRNA from 1 species